rnacentral:rRNA from 1 species
UGGGGAAUCUUCCGCAAUGGACGCAAGUCUGACGGAGCAACGCCGCGUGAGUGAAGAAGGAUUUCGGUUCGUAAAACUCUGUUGUUAGAGAAGAACAGCGCAUAGAGUAACUGUUAUGCGUGUGACGGUAUCUAACCAGAAAGCCACGGCUAACUACGUGCCAGCAGCCGCGGUAAUACGUAGGUGGCAAGCGUUGUCCGGAUUUAUUGGGCGUAAAGCGAGCGCAGGCGGUUAGAAAAGUCUGAAGUGAAAGGCAGUGGCUCAACCAUUGUAGGCUUUGGAAACUGUUUAAGUUGAGUGCAGAAGGGGAGAGUGGAAUUCCAUGUGUAGCGGUGAAAUGCGUAGAUAUAUGGAGGAACACCGGUGGCGAAAGCGGCUCUCUGGUCUGUAACUGACGCUGAGGCUCGAAAGCGUGGGGAGCGAACAGG